GUACCUUAAACACAGUCGGUAAUGUGUAUCAACUGAGAACCAGCGCCCGACUGAAUCAAAUUUACCGACUUGAUAUUUUCUACGUUAUCGUCUGGGUAGUUUUCGUAUUCCCGGCCAAUUGAGAAUUGAGGUCAGAAAAAAAUGAGCAUCUCAAGAUUCAUAAAAAUUCGAAGGUACAUCAAGUACGAAUGCGACUUUCCGGUUUUUAUCAAUCAAAUUACUAUCAUCAGUGUGGUAUCUUCUGUCGCAUUUUUCCGAUCUCAUUAGUGCUGAGAAUGCGGAGGAAUUGACUCGUGAAAAUCGAGAUCUGGAACCAGAUGCAGUUGCGGACAGUGAGAGGCUUUUGUCAAGCCUGGGCGACGGAACUUCGUCAGCUUCGUUAAGUCAGGGACAACGAUCCAUUUUCACCCGGACCAUCUCCAUGGCCAAGGCUAAUCUCCCGGUGACAAGGUGGAAGUCGCAGCGGGGUUUCAAAAACGAAACAACCAACAAGAACAGAGGCAAGAAGAAUAAAAUACCGGUAGCGAUGCAGCCUCCCGAACGCCUUGACCUUGUGAAGUUGCCGCCAGAUAGACUGAAUACGGAGUGCGUUAUUGUCCCCCAGCAAGGUGAAAAAUCUCAGGGGAAGAAGGGUAAAUAAUAAAGUGGACGGCAUUAAACAGCUGUUUUACUGCAAAUUAAGGGAAAAAAUAACUCUCAAAUAUCGGGCAUUAUGCUGUACGAUGACGGAGACGUGGUUUAUUGUUCAAAAUACCGGUUUACACCUGCAUAGAAGAGAUAUUUUUCUAGCGAAGGCGGCAUGAUCGAUUAAAUUUAUCUCUGUACAGACCUUGUUUACGAUCUCGGCAUGUGGAAUUUACAGUGAACGAGAAACGUCUGACAUCGCCUUGAAGUAUUCCCAGCAUGGAAAAACAAGAAGGCGACAAAGUUAAUCGUCGAACAAGUUUGUUUUUUUCUGAUUCAAUAUAAGUAUUACGUCUGAGAACAAAACUUAGUAUUUGGGAGUUUCCAAAUUUUUAUGUACAAACGAAUAAACCAUCCCCAAUAUUAAAA
rnacentral:misc_RNA from 1 species